GGAAGUGGAACUGCUGGAUCAUAUAGCACAUCUAUUUUUAAUUUUGAGGAAAAUCUGUUUACUGUUCUCCAUAGUGGCUGAACCAGUUUACAAUCCCAACAACAGUGCACAAUAGUUCCUUUCCUCCACAUCCUCACCAACACCUGUUAGCUCUUGUCUUCUUAUGACAGCCGUUCGUACAGGCAUGAGGUGACAGCUCAUUGUGGAUUUGGUUUGCACUUCCCUGAUGAUUAGUGAUGCUUCUUGCAGGGCCUGUUCUACCCGAUGUGGCAAAAGUGGGCACCAACUCACGCUGCUUUGUUACUGCAGUGCGUGGCUGGAAGCUUGGGUCUACACUGGGCCACCCUAACACCAGGCCAGGACGGUUCUGUUGUAAACCAGUGACUUCCUUCUAACGGCUCAGACAGUCAUGAACAAACGCGACAUGAAAGGCCAGCACAAGAGCUCAGGACCGUAAGCUCCAUCAGUGGACAUGGUCUGUCUGAUGCACUUACCAGGAGGGGAAUACUAUCCAGGAUGGAACACCAAGGAAACCUCUGAAUUGCUCAAAAUGUAAAAAGAAUCCUGAUACUUUAAAUGAUGUCUAAAAUGGUUUUGUUAAGUCGAAAAACACCAGCUGAGAUUUUGAUUUGCAACUCAUCUUAGGUUGGGCUCCUCAGGAAAUGGACAUCGAGAUGAAGAUUUGCAGGCAGAUCCAGAGACAACAGAAUCUCUGAGUUGAAACAUUCAAAAUAGAGAACAACAAAGACGUUUGGAAGAUGUCAGACUGACCACCCUCCUUUUUGGUUAAACUCUUCUCCUGGGGAGCCCUUCCUAGGAAGCCUAAGAAAGAGAAAAGCAACCCUUGGC
rnacentral:lncRNA from 1 species